AACUAACGCUGGCGGCGUGCCUAACACAUGCAAGUCGUACGAGAAAGUUGGCUUCGGCCGAUGAGUAAAGUGGCGCACGGGUGAGUAAUGCGUGGAUAAUCUGCCCUUUAGUUGGGAAUAACGUACCGAAAGGUGCGCUAAUACCUGAUAAUACUGCAUAACUACUGUUGUGUAGUCAAAGAAGGCCUCUGUUUACAAGCUUUUGCUGAAGGAUGAGUCCGCGUACCAUUAGCUGGUUGGUGGGGUAAUGGCCUACCAAGGCUACGAUGGUUAGCUGGUCUGAGAGGAUGAUCAGCCACACUGGAACUGAGACACGGUCCAGACUCCUACGGGAGGCAGCAGUGAGGAAUCUUGCGCAAUGGGGAAACCCUGACGCAGCAACGCCGCGUGAGUGAGGAAGGCCUUCGGGUCGUAAAGCUCUGUCAGAUGGGAAGAAAUAGGGUGGGGCGUAAUAUCGCCCACUCCUUGUACGGUACCGAUCAGAGGAAGCGACC
rnacentral:rRNA from 1 species